UACGUAGGGGGCAAGCGUUGUCCGGAAUCAUUGGGCGUAAAGCGCGCGUAGGCGGCUCGUUAAGUCUGCUGUGAAAGUCCAGGGCUCAACCCUGGAAUGCCGGUGGAAACUGUCGAGCUAGAGUACGGAAGAGGUGAGUGGAAUUCCUGGUGUAGCGGUGAAAUGCGCAGAUAUCAGGAGGAACACCAAUGGCGAAGGCAGCUCACUGGGACGUUACUGACGCUGAGACGCGAAAGCGUGGGGAGCAAACAGG
rnacentral:rRNA from 1 species